rnacentral:rRNA from 1 species
CCUACGGGUGGCAGCAGUGGGGAAUUUUCCGCAAUGGGCGAAAGCCUGACGGAGCAACGCCGCGUGCGGGAGGAAGGCCUUAGGGUUGUAAACCGCUUUUAUCAGGGAAGAACACAAUGACGGUACCUGAUGAAUAAGCCUCGGCUAAUUCCGUGCCAGCAGCCGCGGUAAUACGGGAGAGGCGAGCGUUAUCCGGAAUUAUUGGGCGUAAAGCGUCCGCAGGUGGUCAAUUAAGUCUGUCGUCAAAACGUGGAGCUCAACUCCAUACUCGCGAUGGAAACUGAUUGACUAGAGUACGGUAGGGGUAGCGGGAAUUCCAGGUGUAGCGGUGAAAUGCGUAGAUAUCUGGAAGAACACCAGCGACGAAAGUGCGCUACUGGGCCUGUACUGACACUCAUGGACGAAAGCCAGGGGAGCGAAAGGGAUUAGAUACCCUAGUAGUC